rnacentral:ncRNA from 1 species
AGGUGCUUUUUUCGUUUGUAUGAAAGCUUAAAAGGGAAGUUCGGUGAAAAACCGACGCUGUCCCGCAACUGUAAAUGGGAGCAAUCUUUUUAAUUCCACUGUUACUAAUUCGUAAUGGGAAGGGAAAAGAACGCGAUGAUCAUGAGCCAGGAGACCUGCCUAUUUCA